AUUGAACGCUGGCGGCAUGCUUUACACAUGCAAGUCGAACGGUAACAGGCCGCAAGGUGCUGACGAGUGGCGAACGGGUGAGUAAUGCAUCGGAACGUGCCCAGUCGUGGGGGAUAACGCAGCGAAAGCUGUGCUAAUACCGCAUACGAUCUAUGGAUGAAAGCGGGGGACCGUAAGGCCUCGCGCGAUUGGAGCGGCCGAUGUCAGAUUAGGUAGUUGGUGGGGUAAAGGCUCACCAAGCCAACGAUCUGUAGCUGGUCUGAGAGGACGACCAGCCACACUGGGACUGAGACACGGCCCAGACUCCUACGGGAGGCAGCAGUGGGGAAUUUUGGACAAUGGGCGCAAGCCUGAUCCAGCAAUGCCGCGUGCAGGAAGAAGGCCUUCGGGUUGUAAACUGCUUUUGUACGGAACGAAAAGGUUUGGGUUAAUACCCUGGGCCGAUGACGGUACCGUAAGAAUAAGCACCGGCUAACUACGUGCCAGCCGCCGCGGUAA
rnacentral:rRNA from 1 species